AAGGUGACAUGUUUAUGGACCCAGAACUAGCUAAGACAGCUAAGACUCUGUGUACAUGCGAAUCACUUCAAGAAUCUUCUUGAUGAAAGAAGCUUGUGUGGUUUGUUAAAAGACUUCGAUCCGCUCACAGCCAUGCAGAUUAAGACGAAUUUAGAUCGACAUUAUUUUGAUAACAAUGAAAACUCAAAUGCUUGAAACGAAAUGAGUGGAGUUGAACGACGCCUGUUUAUCGAAACUACAUCAAUCAACUUUUCAACUAUGCAGGAUUUCAAAAUGUACAAGGCAUCAUAUCAAAGAUUGCAUAUGCCCGAAAGAAGGACAAAUCCAAUUUGGCUCUCUGGAUGUAUGGAAAGCUCUCAACCUUCCAGAAAAGGACUGUUCAAAGGAACACUUAAAUCCCUC